rnacentral:rRNA from 2 species
CGAGCUGGGUUUAGAACGUCGUGAGACAGUUCGGUCCCUAUCUGCCGUGGGCGCUGGAGAACUGAGGGGGGCUGCUCCUAGUACGAGAGGACCGGAGUGGACGCAUCACUGGUGUUCGGGUUGUCAUGCCAAUGGCACUGCCCGGUAGCUAAAUGCGGAAGAGAUAAGUGCUGAAAGCAUCUAAGCACGAAACUUGCCCCGAGAUGAGUUCUCCCUGAGACUUAAAGUCUCCUGAAGGAACGUUGAAGACGACGACGUUGAUAGGCCGGGUGUGUAAGCGCAGCGAUGCGUUGAGCUAACCGGUACUAAUGAACCGUGAGGCUUAACCUUACAACGCCGAAG